UUAAAGGGAAACGAUUGAAGUCAGUCGUACCUAUGGGUAAUCAGCCUUUUGGGUGUGAUYUUGUGGAGCGUGGAGAGUUAAACGCCUUCAUGCCUGCAUAUUCGUGCACUUUGGGUGUACUUGCCCGUGUGUAAGUUAACAUCAAUUUUGGUGGUCAUAAAAUGGCUGGAGGAAUGUAGCUUCGAUCUUGUAUUGAAGUGUUAUAGCCUUCGGUAGAUGUGACGAUCGGGAUUGAGGAUUGCAACGGAUACCCUUCGGGCUACCUGUCUGAUCUCUGAUUGUUGCUCUGGUGCCGAAAGCUUGCUUACGGUUAUCAAAGUCGAUGGUCAAUAGGUUAGAACGGGUUAAAUUCGUUAAGGAUGUUGACGUA
rnacentral:rRNA from 1 species